rnacentral:rRNA from 1 species
AUUGAACGCUGGCGGAAUGCUUUACACAUGCAAGUCGAACGGCAGCACGGACUUCGGUCUGGUGGCGAGUGGCGAACGGGUGAGUAAUGUAUCGGAACGUGCCCAGUCGUGGGGGAUAACGUAGUGAAAAUUACGCUAAUACCGCAUACGAUCUAUGGAUGAAAGCGGGGGAUCGCAAGACCUCGCGCGAUUGGAGCGGCCGAUAUCAGAUUAGGUAGUUGGUGGGGUAAAGGCCCACCAAGCCAACGAUCUGUAGCUGGUCUGAGAGGACGACCAGCAACACUGGAACUGAGACACGGUCCAGCCUCCUACGGGAGGCAGCAGUGGGGAAUUUUGGACAAUGGGCGAAAGCCUGACCCAGCCAUUCCGCGUGCAGGAUGAAGGCCCUCGGGUUGUAAACUGCUUUUGUACAGAACGAAAAGGUUUCUACUAAUACUAGGAGCUCAUGACGGUACUGUAAGAAUAAGCACCGGCUAACUACGUGCCAGCAGCCGCCGCCG